CUAACCUUUUAGGAGCUAGCCGUCGAAGGUGGGACAAAUGAUUGGGGUGAAGUCGUAACAAGGUAGCCGUAUCGGAAGGUGCGGCUGGAUCACCUCCUUUCUAAGGA
rnacentral:rRNA from 1 species